rnacentral:rRNA from 1 species
ACUCCUACGGGAGGCAGCAGUGGGGAAUAUUGCGCAAUGGGGGAAACCCUGACGCAGCAACGCCGCGUGGAGGAUGACACUUUUCGGAGCGUAAACUCCUUUUCUUAGGGAAGAAUUCUGACGGUACCUAAGGAAUAAGCACCGGCUAACUCCGUGCCAGCAGCCGCGGUAAUAC